GUUUUUUUCUAUUUCUCAACGAAAUCGUUAGGAAUCUACACGGUUUUUAUCUAAACGGCUCAUCUUUAACGUUAUUCUCUUAGUAAUUUCUCGAGUCUUUCGUUCUGUAAGAAAUCUCAAAGAAAACGGUAGACUGGCAUUUCAAAUUCGUACCACGAUUAACCGCGGUUAAAUGUCAUUAAUCGAUACUUCCGGUUUCGAUUAUCUUUCUAAUAUUAACCGUUUACCUAAAAUGCCGAUUGAAUAUGAUCAUUUGCUACACGUCUGAUUAUUAAACAUAUCGAUUUGAUUUUAAUCGAAGAAAACAAUUCAAUCUAUUAGGGAAUAAUAAAUUCGAGUAUUCGGAAUUUGAUUUUGAUCGAUAUUGACCAAUCACGGCGCGCAUCCUAUUGUGACAGUUCGACUCGCGUUGUCUAACGAAUCACUGUUUGAACGUCUCCCACUAGUCCGUUGUGCCGCGAUAUCAAGUGCUCGUUACAGUGCAAAGAAUUCGCAAGAAAAUCGGAUGAAACUGAAUGAUACGCCGCAACCUUGAAUUUCUUGACGUUGGAUCGCGCGAAGAUGCGAUCGAAGGGGAUAACACGGGCUCAAUUUCAACGAAUAACAACAGCUACAAACGAGAUGUCCCACGAUAAACCCGAGUAAUAUUAAUACAAUUAUCUCGAGCGAUCCAACGAUGGAAAAGAGAAAACACGGAACGGCGAUAGGAACUUUCUAAAGCCGACGAGUUUGCUCGUCUGCCAGGGUUGGCAGGUUAAAAACCGCGCCUAAAUAGACGUCAGAACGGGGACCACUUGCCACCGUGGACGGAGGAUUCGCUGAUCGAAAUCGGACACGAACGUGGUAGGGGUGGGAGGAUGAGGUAGCGGCGGGAAUGAUAAACGUUUCGUUGUAUAAGUUGGAAAAAGGGUCCUGAAGCGAGUCACGUCCUGCGGGCCACCGCGGGACACCUGUUCCCGGCGUGGCCGCGAGUUAUGCAGAAGAACAAAAAGGACUCGAACGGUUUCCUCAUCGACGCCGAAGCCGAAAGGAGUGGUCGCGGGACGAUGAAGAGAA